ACGUCAAAUCAUCAUGCCCCUUAUGACCUGGGCUACACACGUGCUACAAUGGUCGGUACAACGUGUUGCGAACUCGCGAGGGCAAGCAAAUCACUUAAAACCGAUCUCAGUUCGGAUUGCAGGCUGCNACUCGCCUGCAUGAAGCUGGAAUCGCUAGUAAUCGCGGAUCAGCAUGCCGCGGUGAAUA
rnacentral:rRNA from 1 species